rnacentral:rRNA from 1 species
UACGGGGGGGGCAAGCGUUGUUCGGAAUUACUGGGCGUAAAGGGUUUGUAGGUGGCUUGUUAAGUCAGACGUGAAAUCCCUCAGCUUAACUGGGGAACUGCGUCUGAUACUGGCGAGCUUGAGUGCAGGAGAGGAACGCGGAAUUCCAGGUGUGGCGGUGAAAUGCGUAGAUAUCUGGAGGAACACCGGUGGCGAAGGCGGCGUUCUGGACUGCAACUGACACUGAGAAACGAAAGCCAGGGUAGCAAACGGG